rnacentral:rRNA from 1 species
AUUGAACGCUGGCGGCAGGCCUAACACAUGCAAGUCGAGCGGAGCGGCGGACGGGCGAGUAAUGCCUAGGAAUCUGCCUGGCAGUGGGGGAUAACGUCCGGCAACGGGCGCUAAUACCGCAUACUAUCAGAUGAGCCUAGGUGGGAUUGGGCAGUUGGUGGGGUAAAGGCCUGCCGAGGCGACGAUCCGGAACUGGUCUGAGAGGCUGAUCAGUCACACUGGAACUGAGACACGGUCCAGACGCCUACGGGAGGAAGCGGUGGGGAAUAUUGGACAAUGGGCGAAAGCGUGAUCCAGCCAUGCCGCGAGUGUGAAGAGGGGCUUCGGAUUGUAAAGCUCUAUAAGUUGGGAGGCGUUACCAACAGAAUAAGCGCCGGCUAACUUCGUGCCAGCAGCCGCGGUAAUUC